rnacentral:lncRNA from 1 species
CUGUAUUGCAAGCUUUUAUGGGCAUCGGCUCUGUGACAACAUAUAAGGUUGCCGUUAGGAGGCUGUAGUUGGGGGAAUGAAUGAUGGGAGGUUCCUGGAUGAUGGAACCCACCAGAGACUCUGAUGGCCACCUUUGACAAGCCACACCUGUGCAGCUCAGCAUCUUCCUCACCACGAACCUCUGUGAAGUUGUAAAGAUGAGGACCACAGAUAUAUGGGAUGAAAGAAUAUGAUAUUUGGAGGAUGCCAGAACAUAGUCUUUUACUACUGGUGUCUGAAGGUUAUCUCCAAAGGACAUCUUCAAUGCAAAGAGAGCAGUCCCCUCCAGUGCCUCUCUGAGCGACUAUAUCUCUUGGAUCCCUGCAAGAAUGACAAUAUAAUGUCAAUUUGGAAGAGGAUCAAAUAAUGAAGUAAGUAGCACCCUGUAACAAAAUUCAGAGAAAUUUCAUUUUAAUAGAGAUGACACUAUAAAAACACCGUAUAC